AUCAAUUCAACGGCCGCGGUAUUCUGACUGCGCUAAGGUAGCAUAAUCACUUGUCUCUUAAAUGGGGACUAGUAUGAAAGGACCCACGAGAAUCUAACUGUCUCCUUUUUUUAAUCAGUGAAACUAAUCUCCCCGUGAAAAAGCGGGAAUAACUAUAUAAGACGAGAAGACCCUAUGGAGCUUUAGAUUAAGCAAUACUUUCUUUUUUCCACCCCUUUUAAAAAGAAUACCCCCCCCCAAGCACUUUAUUGCUAAUCUUCGGUUGGGGUGACCACGGAGUAAAACUAAUCCUCCACGCCGAAUGGAAUUUUCCAUAACAAAGAACUACAGUUCUACGAAUCAAAAAAUUGACAAUUGACCCAAUAUUUGAUCAACGAAACAAGUUACCCUAGGGAUAACAGCGCAAUUUACUUCAAAAGCCCCUAUUGACAAGUAGGUUUACGACCUCGAUGUUGGAUCAGGGUAUCCCAGUGGUGCAACCGCUACUAAAGGUUUG
rnacentral:rRNA from 1 species